rnacentral:hammerhead_ribozyme from 1 species
AUCCAACUGACGAGUCCCAAACAGGACGAAAUGCGCGUCCUGGAU